UGGGGAAUAUUGGACAAUGGGCGAAAGCCUGAUCCAGCAACGCCGCGUGAAGGACGAAGGUCUUCGGAUUGUAAACUUUUGUUAUUGGGGACGAAAAAAGACGGUACCCAAUGAGGAAGCCCCGGCUAACUACGUGCCAGCAGCCGCGGUAAUACGUAGGGGGCAAGCGUUGUCCGGAAUUACUGGGCGUAAAGGGCGUGUAGGCGGUUUGGUAAGUCAGAUGUGAAAGCCCCGGGCUCAACCUGGGAUGUGCAUUUGAAACUAUCAGACUUGAGUGCAGGAGAGGAAAGCGGAAUUCCUAGUGUAGCGGUGAAAUGCGUAGAUAUUAGGAGGAACACCGGUGGCGAAGGCGGCUUUCUGGACUGUAACUGACGCUGAGGCGCGAAAGCGUGGGGAGCAAACA
rnacentral:rRNA from 1 species